rnacentral:rRNA from 1 species
CUGAGUGCACCCGAUCUCAUCUGAUCUCAGAAGCGAAGCAG